AGAGUUUGAUCCUGGCUCAGAUUGAACGCUGGCGGCAUGCCUUACACAUGCAAGUCGAACGGUAGAGGGGCAACCCUUGAGAGUGGCGAACGGGUGAGUAAUAUAUCGGAACGUGCCCAGUCGUGGGGGAUAACGCAGCGAAAGCUGCGCUAAUACCGCAUACGAUCUAAGGAUGAAAGCGGGGGAUCGCAAGACCUCGCGCGAUUGGAGCGGCCGAUAUCAGAUUAGGUAGUUGGUGGGGUAAAAGCCUACCAAGCCGACGAUCUGUAGCUGGUCUGAGAGGACGACCAGCCACACUGGGACUGAGACACGGCCCAGACUCCUACGGGAGGCAGCAGUGGGGAAUUUUGGACAAUGGGCGCAAGCCUGAUCCAGCAAUGCCGCGUGCAGGACGAAGGCCUUCGGGUUGUAAACUGCUUUUGUACGGAGCGAAACGGUCUGGGUUAAUACCCUGGGCUAAUGACGGUACCGUAAGAAUAAGCACCGGCUAACUACGUGCCAGCAGCCGCGGUAAUAC
rnacentral:rRNA from 1 species